rnacentral:rRNA from 1 species
UCCAGACUCCUACGGGAGGCAGCAGUGAGGAAUAUUGGUCAAUGGGCGCGAGCCUGAACCAGCCAAGUCGCGUGAGGGAGGACGGCCCUACGGGUUGUAAACCUCUUUUGCCGGGGAGCAACGGGCGUCACGUGUGGCGCCACUGAGAGUACCCGGAGAAAAAGCAUCGGCUAACUCCGUGCCAGCAGCCGCGGUAAUACGGAGGAUGCGAGCGUUAUCCGGAUUCAUUGGGUUUAAAGGGUGCGCAGGCGGGCCUUUAAGGCGGGGGGGAAAAGCGGGGGGCCAACCCCCGCCGAGCCGUCGGAACUGGGGGCCUUGAGUGCGGCGGAGGCAUGCGGAAUGCGCGGUGUAGCGGUGAAAUGCUUAGAUAUUGCGCAGAACUCCGAUUGCGAAGGCAGCAUACCGGCGGCGAUCUGACGCUGAGGCACGAAAGCGUGGGUAUCGAACAGGAUUAGAUACCCGCGUAC